rnacentral:rRNA from 1 species
CUACUAGAAGGUUCGAUUAGUCUUUCGCCCCCAUGCCCAUAUUUGACGAUCGAUUUGCACGUCAGAACCGCUGCGAGCCUCCACCAGAGUUUCCUCUGGCUUCACCCUAUACAGGCAUAGNUCACCUUCUUUCGGGUCCGGCCCCGUAUGCUCUUACUCAAAUCCAUCCGAGAACAUCAGGAUCGGUCGAUGAUGCGCCGAAGCUCUCACCUGCGUUCACUUUCAUUACGCGUAGGGGUUUGACACCCGAACACUCGCAUACGAAGACGACUCCUUGGUCCGUGUUUCAAGACGGGUCGCUGGUGACCAUUACGCCAGCAUCCUUGCAGAUGCGCGGUCCUCAGUCCACCGCAGGGUAUUAUGCAACGGGCUAUAACACUCCCAGGGGAGCCACGUUCCCGAAGCCUUUUUCCCCCGCGACGAACUGAUGCUGGCCUGGACACGGCGAAGUGCACCGGGGAGAACCCCGGAUGAUCCGCCGCGCCCAAGUCUGGUCACAAGCGCUUCCCUUUCAACAAUUUCACGUACUAUUUAACCCUCUUUUCAAGGUGCUUUUCAUCUUUCGAUCACUCUACUUGUGCGCUAUCGGUCUCUGGCCAAUAUUUAGCUUUAGAAGACAUAUACCUCCCAUUUUGAGCAGCAUUCCCAAACUACUCGACUCGUCGAAGGAGCUUUACAGAGGCUCGGUGGCCAGCCAGACGGGGCUCUCACCCUCUGUGGCGUCCCGUUCCAGGGAACUCGGGCGGCACCUUGCCAAAANCAUCCUCUACAAAUUACAACUCGGACCCAAAAGGGCCGAGUUNCAAAUUUGAGCUGUUGCGCUUCACUCGCCGUUAUCGGGGCAAUCCCUGUUGGUUUCUUUUCCUCCGCUUAUUGAU